CUGAGAAACCCAAAAGAUCGAAUGGGGAGAUUCAUCGCCAGCGAUUUUGGCAGGUGUGCGGUUCGCGAUGCCGGAGGCUGCGGUUUCCGGGCACGCGUCCGCAUGUCCAUUGCCUUAAACGUCGGCGUGCACUUCUCCCCUAGUAGGACGUCGCGACCCGUUGGGUGUCGGUCUACGGCCCGGGCGGUAGCCUGUCUCGUGUUCGCUUCACGGCGUUACGCGGUUCAGACCCCCGGUUGCCCGACCGGCUGCUCGGCGGUACUCGCACGGUAUCUGGUCGCAAAUAUUUAAACUGCGUCCGGCCCGUCGCAAGCGAGGCAAGUGUUUCCCGUCUGUUUAACGGAUCUAAUGCCGGCACCGGGCCUUGCCAGCUGUUGGUUGACGGUGUCCUAGGACAGGCCAAUGCAAUUAUGAUACCGGUCGGCGACGCUACUGCUUUGGGUACUUUCAGGACCCGUCUUGAAACACGGA
rnacentral:rRNA from 1 species